AUGUUGAUUUCUAUAGAUUCAAAUCGAAUAACGCUGUGCGUAAUCAAUCACGACUCGUCCCGGUUGCGGCCGUUUCAAUUAGUAAACGUUUGUACCGGUCGCACACCGACAUACUGCAUCCGAUUCUGGACCCGUACAGCUCAUAAUGCACCGUCCUAUGUGCAUUACGUGCACGUAUCGACCAACAAGUUUAUUAACGGUCGUUCCGUAUUAGGUUUCUCGGGCAAUUCCAUUCGCUCGCUCACGUCUGUCGUCGACAUUCGCGAACGACGAUAACCCCAGGUUCGUUGUGAAAAAACCACAAGGAAAGGGGGGACGCGAAACGUGUUUCGCAAAGGCCGCGAUCGAAACCAGUAUCCCGAGUAACCCGAAGAGCAAUCGACGACAAUCGACGAAAUUAUUGUUUGACUUACAAAUCGUAAACACAAUCGCAUA